UACGUAGGGUGCAAGCGUUGUCCGGAAUUAUUGGGCGUAAAGAGCUCGUAGGCGGUCUGUCGCGUCGGCUGUGAAAUCCCGGGGCUCAACCCCGGGCCUGCAGUCGAUACGGGCAGACUAGAGUGCGGUAGGGGAGACUGGAAUUCCUGGUGUAGCGGUGAAAUGCGCAGAUAUCAGGAGGAACACCGGUGGCGAAGGCGGUUCUCUGGGCAUUACCUGACGCUGAGGAGCGAAAGUGUGGGGAGCGAACAGG
rnacentral:rRNA from 1 species